UCCUACGGGAGGCAGCAGUGAGGAAUAUUGCGCAAUGGGCGAAAGCCUGACGCAGCAACGCCGCGUGAAUGAUGAAGUUUUUCGGAAUGUAAAGUUUAGUCACCAGAGAUGAUAAUGACAGUAUCUGGAGAGGAAACCCCGGCUAAGUACGUGCCAGCAGCCGCGGUAAGACGUGCGGGGUAAGCGUUAUCCGGAAUCACUGGGCAUAAAGAGUGUGUAGGCGGAAAUGUGUGUCAGGUGUGAAAGGCUUUGGCCUAACCAAAGUAAGCACUUGAAACUGCAUUUCUAGAGGAUAGUAGAGGAAAGCGGAACUUACGGUGUAGCGGUGAAAUGUGUAGAUAUCGUAAGGAACACCAGUUGCGAAGGCUGCUUUCUGGGCUAUUUCUGACGCUAAAGCACGAAAGCGUGGGUAGCGAACGGGAUUAGAUACCCCGGUAGUCCACGCCGUAAACGUUGUUCACUAAGUGUAGGGGAGAAUCGAUCCUCUCUGUGCCACAGAUAAUUCUUUAAGUGAACCGCCUGGGAAGUACGACCGCAAGGUUAAAACUCAAAGGAAUUGACGGGGA
rnacentral:rRNA from 1 species